UUGGAGGGCAAGUCUGGUGCCAGCAGCCGCGGUAAUUCCAGCUCCAAUAGCGUAUAUUAAAGUUGUUGCAGUUAAAAAGCUCGUAGUUGAAUUUCGGGGUUAGAAGGUUGGUCAUGCCACUGGUAUGUACUGGUCUUACUGAUUCCUCCUUCCUGAUGAACUGUAAUGCCAUUAAUUUGGUGUUGCAGGGAAUCUGGACUGUUACUUUGAAAAAUUAGAGUGUUUAAAGCAGGCUAACGCUUGAAUACAUUAGCAUGGAAUAAUGAAAUAGGACGUUCGAUCCUAUUUUGUUGGUUUCUAGGAUUGACGUAAUGAUUAAUAGGGAUAGUUGGGGGCAUUAGUAUUCAAUUGUCAGAGGUGAAAUUCUUGGAUUUAUUGAAGACUAACUACUGCGAAAGCAUUUUGCCAAGGAUGUUUUCAUUAAUCAAGAACGAAAGUUAGGGGAUCGAAGACGAUCAGAUACCGUCGUAGUCUUAACCAUAAACUAUGCCGACUAGGGGAUCGG
rnacentral:rRNA from 1 species